rnacentral:rRNA from 1 species
GACGAACGCUGGCGGCGUGCUUAACACAUGCAAGUCGAGCGGAAAGGCCCUUCGGGGUACUCGAGCGGCGAACGGGAGAGUAACACGUGAGUAACCUGCCCCAGACUUUGGGAUAACCCUCGGAAACGGGGGCUAAUACCGGAUACGACACAGCUUCGCAUGGGGUCUGUGUGGAAAGUUUUUCGGUUUGGGAUGGGCUCGCGGCCUAUCAGCUUGUUGGUGGGGUGAUGGCCUACCAAGGCGACGACGGGUAGCCGGCCUGAGAGGGCGACCGGCCACACUGGGACUGAGACACGGCCCAGACUCCUACGGGAGGCAGCAGUGGGGAAUAUUGCACAAUGGGCGGAAGCCUGAUGCAGCGACGCCGCGUGAGGGAUGACGGCCUUCGGGUUGUAAACCUCUUUCAGCAGGGACGAAGCGUAAGUGACGGUACCUGCAGAAGAAGCGCCGGCCAACUACGUG